GGAAGAUUGAAUAUAACACCUCGUAUAAUAGCAGGGAUAUGGCUUGCAAGUUUCUACCCGACGACCCUAAAUCGUUGGACUAUGGGGUAUAUGGAUGUUCGU
rnacentral:ncRNA from 19 species